rnacentral:rRNA from 1 species
GGGGAAUAUUGGACAAUGGGGGAAACCCUGAUCCAGCAAUGCCGCGUGGGUGAUGAAGGCCUUCGGGUUGUAAAGCCCUUUUGGCGGGGACGAUGAUGACGGUACCCGCAGAAGAAGCCCCGGCUAACUUCGUGCCAGCAGCCGCGGUAAUACGAAGGGGGCUAGCGCUGUUCGGAAUUACUGGGCGUAAAGCGCACGUAGGCGGCUUUGUAAGUUAGAGGUGAAAGCCCGGGGCUCAACUCCGGAAUUGCCUUUAAGACUGCAUCGCUAGAAUUGUGGAGAGGUAAGUGGAAUUCCGAGUGUAGAGGUGAAAUUCGUAGAUAUUCGGAAGAACACCAGUGGCGAAGGCGACUUACUGGACACAUAUUGACGCUGAGGUGCGAAAGCGUGGGGAGCAAAC